CCCUGUGGGGGAACAGGGCAGAGGGACGGAUGUCAAAAGGCUCUGCGUCUGUGGUUCACGUGUGCAUUUUGCACACGUCAAAACGGGUCAUCGGCAGCGUCUCUGCAGAAAGCGAACACUGGCUUCAAGGCCCACCGUGGACGUGGGUGGAGAUCCCAAGUAUCUUCUGAGCACCAGCCUUUCGGGCCUCUCCUAUGUGCCAGACGCGGCCCCAGGCACAGAUCAUAAAAUGAUGUGCAAAAAAGAACCAGGUCUCUGCCCUCCUGAACCCUUCCUUCUCCUACCCUUAUCCAUUCAUUCGUUCAUCCAUCCUUUCUGCGACCAACAGCUGCUGAGAGCACACUGUGUGGUAGACCGAGCCCAGGGUGGUGGAGCCAGCAGAGGACUCAGCAGUCACGUCCACAGUCUAGAAGAUGAGUGUUCUGUGGGAGUGUCACGUGAUAUCUGUUAGUUCCUACGAUACACCAGGCCUACAGCUCUGAGGGCAGAUUGGCAAAACAAAUGGCAGAGUGAAGACCUAGACAAGAAAAAAAAGAAAGAAGAAGUGUUCAAGGAAGAGAAUAAUGGAUUUCACUUCUUCUAAGACAUAUUUUUCAGAUUUUAAUGCUUUUGCUGUAAUUUAGUAAACAGUAUUUUUCUUUUA